rnacentral:rRNA from 1 species
AUGCACGCUGGCGGCGUGCCUCAUACCUGCCAGUCGAGCGAACAGACGAGGAGCUUGCUCCUCUGAUGUUAGCGGCGGACGGGUGAGUAACACGUGGAUAACCUACCUAUAAGACUGGGAUAACUUCGGGAAACCGGAGCUAAUACCGGAUAACAUGUUGAACCGCAUGGUUCAACAGUGAAAGACGGUCUUGCUGUCACUUAUAGAUGGAUCCGCGCCGCAUUAGCUAGUUGGUAAGGUAACGGCUUACCAAGGCAACGAUGCGUAGCCGACCUGAGAGGGUGAUCGGCCACACUGGAACUGAGACACGGUCCAGACUCCUACGGGAGGCAGCAGUAGGGAAUCUUCCGCAAUGGGCGAAAGCCUGACGGAGCAACGCCGCGUGAGUGAAGAAGGUCUUCGGAUCGUAAAACUCUGUUAUUAGGGAAGAACAAAUGUGUAAGUAACUAUGCACGUCUUGACGGUACCUAAUCAGAAAGCCACGGCUAACUACGUG